GAUGAACGCUGGCGGCGUGCCUAAUACAUGCGAGUCGAGCGAACAGACGAGGAGCUUGCUCCUCUGACGUUAGCGGCGGACGGGUGAGUAACACGUGGAUAACCUACCUAUAAGACUGGGAUAACUUCGGGAAACCGGAGCUAAUACCGGAGAAUAUAUUGAACCGCAUGGUUCAAUAGUGAAAGACGGUUUUGCUGUCACUUAUAGAUGGAUCCGCGCCGCAUUAGCUAGUUGGUAAGGUAACGGCCUACCAAGGCAACGAUGCGUAGCCGACCUGAGAGGGGGAUCGGCCACAUUGGAACUGGGACACGGUCCAGACUCCUGCGGGAGGCAGCAGUAGGGAAUGUUACGCAGUGGGCGAAAGCCUGACGGAGCAACGCCGCGUGAGUGAUGAAGGUCUUCGGAUCGUAAAACUCUGUUAUUAGGGAAGAACAAAUGUGUAAGUAACUAUGCACGGCUUGACGGUACCUAAUCAGAAAGCCACGGCUAACUACGUG
rnacentral:rRNA from 1 species